AGCAUAUCAAUAAGCGGAGGAAAAGAAACCAACAGGGAUUGCCUCAGUAACGGCGAGUGAAGCGGCAAGAGCUCAAAUUUGAAAGCUGGCCCCUUCGGGGUCCGCAUUGUAAUUUGCAGAGGAUGCUUCGGGAGCGGCCCCCAUCUAAGUGCCCUGGAACGGGCCGUCAUAGAGGGUGAGAAUCCCGUCUGGGAUGGGGUGCCCGCGCCCGUGUGAAGCUCCUUCGACGAGUCGAGUUGUUUGGGAAUGCAGCUCUAAAUGGGUGGUAAAUUUCAUCUAAAGCUAAAUACUGGCCGGAGACCGAUAGCGCACAAGUAGAGUGAUCGAAAGAUGAAAAGCACUUUGAAAAGAGAGUUAAACAGCACGUGAAAUUGUUGAAAGGGAAGCGCUUGCGACCAGACUCGCUCGCGGGGUUCAGCCGGCCUUCGGGCCGGUGUACUUCCCCGCGGGCGGGCCAGCGUCGGUUUGGGCGGCCGGUCAAAGGCCCUCGGAAUGUAACGCCCCCCGGGGCGUCUUAUAGCCGAGGGUGCCAUGCGGCCAGCCCGGACCGAGGAACGCGCUUCGGCUCGGACGCUGGCAUAAUGGUCGUAAGCGACCCGUCUUGAAACACGGACCAAGGAGUCUAACAUCUACGCGAGUGUUCGGGUGUCAAACCCGUGCGCGCAGUGAAAGCGAACGGAGGUGGGAACCCCUCGGGGUGCACCAUCGACCGAUCCUGAUGUCUUCGGAUGGAUUUGAGUAAGAGCGUAGCUGUUGGGACCCGAAAGAUGGUGAACUAUGCCUGAAUAGGGCGAAGCCAGAGGAAACUCUGGUGGAGGCUCGCAGCGGUUCUGACGUGCAAAUCGAUCGUCAAAUUUGGGUAUAGGGGCGAAAGACUAAUCGAACCAUCUAGUAGCUGGUUCCUGCCG
rnacentral:rRNA from 1 species